rnacentral:rRNA from 1 species
CCUACGGGGCGCAGCAGUGGGGAAUAUUGCACAAUGGGCGCAAGCCUGAUGCAGCCAUGCCGCGUGUGUGAAGAAGGCCUUCGGGUUGUAAAGCACUUUCAGCGGGGAGGAAGGCGUUAAGGUUAAUAACCUUGGCGAUUGACGUUACCCGCAGAAGAAGCACCGGCUAACUCCGUGCCUGCAGCCGCGGUAAUACGGAGGGUGCAAGCGUUAAUCGGAAUUACUGGGCGUAAAGCGCACGCAGGCGGUCUGUCAAGUCGGAUGUGAAAUCCCCGGGCUCAACCUGGGAACUGCAUUCGAAACUGGCAGGCUAGAGUCUUGUAGAGGGGGGUAGAAUUCCAGGUGUAGCGGUGAAAUGCGUAGAGAUCUGGAGGAAUACCGGUGGCGAAGGCGGCCCCCUGGACAAAGACUGACGCUCAGGUGCGAAAGCGUGGGGAGCAAACAGGAUUAGAUACCCGAGUAGUC